rnacentral:misc_RNA from 1 species
CAGGACUGGAACUCAGGUCAGAAAG